rnacentral:rRNA from 1 species
AACGAACGCUGGCGGCAGGCUUAACACAUGCAAGUCGAACGCAUCCUUCGGGGUGAGUGGCAGACGGGUGAGUAACACGUGGGAACGUACCUUUCGGUUCGGGAUAACCCAGGGAAACUUGGGCUAAUACCGGAUACGUCCUUAGGGAGAAAGAUUGAUUGCCGAAAGAUCGGCCCGCGUCUGAUUAGCUAGUUGGUGAGGUAACGGCUCACCAAGGCGACGAUCAGUAGCUGGUCUGAGAGGAUGAUCAGCCACACUGGGACUGAGACACGGCCCAGACUCCUACGGGAGGCAGCAGUGGGGAAUAUUGGACAAUGGGCGCAAGCCUGAUCCAGCCAUGCCGCGUGAGUGAUGAAGGCCCUAGGGUUGUAAGCUCUUUCGGCGGGACGAUAAUGACGGUACCCGCAGAAGAAGCCCCGGCUAACUUCGUGCCA